rnacentral:misc_RNA from 1 species
CAAAUUUAACAAAAAAAUUAAAAAGAGAAAAAAGUACUGGAAGUUGUACAGUGUGGAGAAUAAGAGGAGGCAAAAAAAUAAGGAAAAAAAUAAAAAAUAAAAAUAAAGGGCUGGAAGUUUGGUAUGUGGCGCAGCGUGAAGACUGAAGAGAAUUAGAGAAGAAGGAGAUAAAAGAAAAUAAAAAUUAAAAAAAAGAACACUGGUUGCAGCAGCGUGAGAUUGAGAGGAGAAGAGAGUAGAAGAAGAGUAGAUGAGAGAGAGAGAGAGA